rnacentral:misc_RNA from 1 species
CAUCGCUAACCCGGCUAUUUCAUCGCUACAAAAAAGGGCCGCAUCGUAGAUGCGGCCCUUUUGCUUUUUCAGU